GAUGAACGCUGGCGGCGUGCCUAAUACAUGCGAGUCGAGCGAACGGACGAGAAGCUUGCUUCUCUGAUGUUAGCGGCGGACGGGUGAGUAACACGUGGAUAACCUACCUAUAAGACUGGGAUAACUUCGGGAAACCGGAGCUAAUACCGGAUAAUAUUUUGAACCGCAUGGUUCAAAAGUAAAAGACGGUCUUGCUGUCACUUAUAGAUGGAUCCGCGCUGCAUUAGCUAGUUGGUAAGGUAACGGCUUACCAAGGCAACGAUGCAUAGCCGACCUGAGAGGGUGAUCGGCCACACUGGAACUGAGACACGGUCCAGACUCCUACGGGAGGCAGCAGUAGGGAAUCUUCCGCAAUGGGCGAAAGCCUGACGGAGCAACGCCGCGUGAGUGAUGAAGGUCUUCGGAUCGUAAAACUCUGUUAUUAGGGAAGAACAUAUGUGUAAGUAACUGUGCACAUCUUGACGGUACCUAAUCAGAAAGCCACGGCCAACUACGUG
rnacentral:rRNA from 1 species